rnacentral:rRNA from 1 species
GUACACGCUGUGACUAGCAUAUCAAUAAGCGGAGGAAAAGAAACUAACAAGGAUUCCCCUAGUAACGGCGAGUGAAGCGGGAAGAGCUCAAAUUUGAAAUCUUAAAGGGUUUCCCUUUACGAAUUGUAGUUUAAAGAAGUGUUUUCUGUUGAGGUUUUGGUAAAAGUUCUUUGGAAUAGGACAUCAUAGAGGGUGAGAAUCCCGUAUUUGACCUUUACUUUCAACUUUGUGAUACACUUUCAAAGAGUCGGAUUGUUUGGGAAUGCAGUCCAAAAUGGGUGGUAAAUUUCAUCUAAAGCUAAAUAUUGGCGAGAGACCGAUAGCGAACAAGUACCGUGAGGGAAAGAUGAAAAGAACUUUGAAAAGAGAGUUAAACAGUACGUGAAAUUGUCAAAAGGGAAGCGUUUGACACCAGUGUUGUUUUUCUGAAAAUCAAUUAAAGAACUGUUUAUGCUAAGUUGUUUAGACUUUAUCAGCUAAUCUGUUUAGUUUUAGGCUUUUCCUUUAAUGCACUUUUCAGUUAACAAGUCAACAUCAAUUUCUUUUGCUGUAAAAAAGCUUGAGGAAGGUGGCUUGAGAUUCGUCUUAAGUGCUUAUAGCCUCUUGCCUAUGCCAGUCGGAGAGAUUGAGGUCUGCAGCGUAGAUCCUUCGGGGCUAAAUGCAUUUGUGCUAAGUUAUAGCAUUUUAUAGACAACUUGUUGACUAUGAUUUGUCUUGUAGCUUACUCGCUUAUGUUAUUUUACCUACGCUUAGGAUGUUGAGUCGUAGAGCACGCAG